UAUAGUAAAUUACAGAUAUAUUCUUGCAAAGUUCAAUUUUCGUAAGUUAGUCCUGCAAAAGUCUUAAUAUAUUCAGAUAUGUUUCUUUGGUUAGGAUCCGUUAGAGAACUGUUUAUUUUUUAAUGGUAAGUUUGUGAAAUGACAAUUUUGCCAUCACAAAUAUAUUCCUCCAAAACAAUCCUCUUCCUCUUUCUCUUUCUUU
rnacentral:lncRNA from 1 species